UACGUAGGGUGCAAGCGUUGUCCGGAAUCAUUGGGCGUAAAGAGCGCGUAGGCGGUCCGGUAAGUCCGCUCUGAAAGUCCGGGGCUCAACCCCGGGAGGCGGGCGGAUACUGCCGGGCUAGAGUCCGGAAGAGGCGAGUGGAAUUCCUGGUGUAGCGGUGAAAUGCGUAGAUAUCAUUUGGAACGCCAAUGGUGAAAACAGGUAGCUGGGGCUGUGCUGACACUGAGACACGAAAGCCAGGGGAGCAAACGGG
rnacentral:rRNA from 1 species